CCGGGUAUCUGCUAACUAUAUUUCAACUGCAGCCAAUGAGAUACUAGAUUUUUUUUGUCAAUCACCUUUUAUUAGCCAAUCGACAACAGAAGUUACUUGUCUAUUAUUUUCCACGAUAGCCACUCAUCUUGACAACUCUUCUACAAGAAGGCGGUUACUGCGGUGCAAGUGGUUAAAAAGCUAUCGUGUGAAAAUACUGUGAAAGCGGCGUGACAGGAUGUCCCACUUUUCUGGGGUGCUGAUGAUGAUGUCUCCUUUUCCCAGUAGCUUGAGAUCAGUACUGGUCUCUCCAGAGGAAACCAGAGACCACGAAGACGCAGACACAGGGAGAACAUGGAAACUCCAUGCACCAGAGACUCAAUGUGCCAACAAUCAAGCCACCAUACUGAUUUUUCAGAGUGUACAAGGGAUGUACACUUCUGUUAUAUACUGCAUUCUUAUACAUCUCAGUCUCCCUACUUGUAUCAUUAUAUUCAGCUCUACCUGAGUAGCACAGCAAGGACCAAGUCAUAUCAAAUCUUGUAGUGCGAGUACCAUUGUGGCAAGUAGUAGGAAGUAGCUAUGUACAACAGCCAAAGAGAAUGUGAGAAAACUCAAGCACAUGUCCAACUGAUGCAUGUGAAUAUAUAACUGUCUUACACUUGUGUAUAACUUUCUUAAUUAACAGUCGAAAAUUAAAGCUUUAAAACGGAA